rnacentral:rRNA from 1 species
GACGAACGCUGGCGGCGUGCCUAAUACAUGCAAGUCGAACGCUGAAGGAGGAGCUUGCUUCUCUGGAUGAGUUGCGAACGGGUGAGUAACGCGUAGGUAACCUGCCUGGUAGCGGGGGAUAACUAUUGGAAACGAUAGCUAAUACCGCAUAAGAGUAGGUGUCGCAUGACAUUUUCUUAAAAGGUGCCAUUGCAUCACUACCAGAUGGACCUGCGUUGUAUUAGCUAGUUGGUGAGGUAACGGCUCAACAAGGCAACGAUACAUAGCCGAGCUGGGAGGGUGGUCCGCCCAAAUGGGAAUGAGGAACGGCCCAGACUUCUACGGGAGGCAGCAGGAGGGAAUCUUCGGAAAUGGACGGAAGUCUGACCGAACCAAGGCGCGUGAGGGAAGAAGGGUUUCGGAUCGUAAAGCUCUGUUGUAAGGGAAGAAAGAGUGUGAGAGUGGAAAGUUCACACUGUGACGGUACCUUACCAGAAAGGGACGGCUAACUACGUG